AUUGAACGCUGGCGGCAUGCUUUACACAUGCAAGUCGAACGGCAGCGCGGGCUUCGGCCUGGCGGCGAGUGGCGAACGGGUGAGUAAUGCAUCGGAACGUGCCCAGUAGUGGGGGAUAGCCCGGCGAAAGCCGGAUUAAUACCGCAUACGACCUGAGGGUGAAAGCGGGGGACAGAAGGCCCUCGCGAUAUUGGAGGGGCCGAUGUCGGAUUAGCUGGUUGGGGGGGUAAAGGCUUACCAAGGCGACGAUCCGUAGCUGGUCUGAGAGGACGACCAGCCACACUGGGACUGAGACACGGCCCAGACUCCUACGGGAGGCAGCAGUGGGGAAUUUUGGACAAUGGGGGCAACCCUGAUCCAGCCAUGCCGCGUGCGGGAAGAAGGCCUUCGGGUUGUAAACCGCUUUUGUUCGGGAAGAAAUCCUCUGGGCUAAUACCCCGGGGGGAUGACGGUACCGGAAGAAUAAGCACCGGCUAACUACGUG
rnacentral:rRNA from 1 species